UACGAAGGGAGCGAGCGUUGUUCGGAAUCACUGGGCUUAAAGCGUACGUAGGUGGUUAAACAAGUCAGAAGUGAAAGCCCCGGGCUCAACCUGGGAACUGCUUUUGAAACUGUUUGGCUAGAGUCCCGGAGAGGUUAGGAGAAUUCCGAGUGUAGAGGUGAAAUUCGCAGAUAUUCGGAGGAAUACCAGUGGCGAAGGCGCCUAACUGGACGGGUACUGACACUGAAGUACGAAAGCGUGGGUAGCAAACAGG
rnacentral:rRNA from 1 species